CAGGCGCAGUGCUGCCCUUACCUGGUCAGAUACCUUCAUGCCCAAACUGCAAACAAUGGUGGUGAACAGUCAACAACAACAGAGCUGAAAAAUGCCCCACCACUGACCCUGUCAAAAAGAAGAAAUAAGAACACUUACAACAUAAAGCAGUGUAAAAAGAAGGAAUUGGACCAAGCCAGAGAGAUAACAAGGAUACAUAUCGGAGCGUCAUUUCAGAGCUGGAGGGAGCUGCAGGACUCGGAAAGACUCAAGAGCGUUUCAGAGUUAGCAGCUUUCCUGCUGGGCAAUCUCCUUGGAUCACUUCAGAUGAUGACUGCAAUCCAAUCACUCACGUCUACACUUGGCAGAUCCGGACAGAUGAAUGAGGGCAGAACAUACCAACGUAUCAGCUGCAUCUGCGAGAACAUAUAAGGAGUGAUUUGUGUAAGCUUAAAAAAAAACAAAAACACUGGUAAUACAGAGGUAAGACCUCCUGAUAAAUAGGAGAAAAAUGGAGUGUGAGUUGUGGAAAUUCUUCCAAGGAAUAGAUCUUAUGGACACCAGGGCCUGUCUUGUGUCAUUUGAUCCAUACUGCCCUCUAGUGGAGUGACCCAAGACUCAUUUACAGCCACGGAGAGGUAAUAGUCAGCUCUGACCUCUACAUUGUACAAUACAAUACAUGAAAUUGCACACUUCAAAAUUUUGAUGACUGAACUCAACCUUUUCAGACUGUGGGGCAGUCUCAAGCGUGUAUAUUCCGCAUUCUGUACAGGGAGCAACAUCCCCGAUUCGAGUGAGGAAAAACCUGCCAGAAAUCUCUGAACAGUAGAAGAAAAAAGGAUGGAGGAACCCUCAGGGAGAGCCACAGAGGAGGAUCCCUCUCCCAGGACGGCCAGACAUGCAGUAGAUGUCGGGUGUACAGAACUGAACAAAACUAUUUUCUUGUCAGUAACCUCUUUUUCCUUUGAAGUAUCUGUAAUCUAAUUACAUCUUUUAUCCUGUAAUUUUAGCAGAAUACAAUGAACACUUUUUGGUAUCCCAGUGAAGCAAUGUGCUCCGUUUCUCCCCAAGCAUGGCAUUACUGUAUAUUAUGAUAGUCUGAAUCUGUGAUAUUUCCUGAGAUGGUUAUUGUACAGUGACAUAAACAAGAUUAAAGAAGAUUGUUUGCUGAUGAUGAUCGUGCAUUUAUUCACUAAAGAUCAAAAUUCCACUACGAUUUAACGGUUUCCAAAAAAAAAUAUGGGUUGGGGGCGCAAAAGUUUUUUUCUUCUGGGCAUGCCAGAAAAAGUUGGAGGAAAAAAAUGGUCCCCCGAAGACAAAUAUGUGGAUUAAGGCUGUGACAGAGAAGAAACUACAGCGUGGUGUAUUGAUUAUAAUCAGGGUACAAGUGUGUUUGUUUACUGUCGGAUAAGAACCAUUUCUAGUUCUCGUCUUAUUGGAUGAAGUAGGUCUCAUUAGUGUGUGGUAUACGUCCAAGAACAUUUCUAUAUGCCAGCAUAAGAAAAGCACAGGUGUAAUUAUUACUAAUACUGACGGCUGAAAUCCAUGUAUUAUUCCUGCAACACUUUCGGGGGUAUUCCUGGUAUUGUGCAUGAUGUCAUGACUUGCUGGAAAUACAAGAGAGCAAUCAUUAUUAGCUACAACUGUGCUUUCCUAACAACAAGUCAAACUGCCUGCUGUGAAAGAGAUACUGAGGGGUUAAAACCUGUCCUGCACAAUGAGCUUAGCCCAGUAUCAUGAAACAGACCCCCCGCCUCCUCCCCCAUGAACCUACUAACAGGUCAUAAGACCUCGCUUCACACUCAGCCCCCACCCACUGUGUGGGAGCCGUCAGCCAAGUCCGACAGAAUCUGGGAUACAAACCAGUAUGGCAAGUAAACUACUCUAUUUUGUCCAGCUCAUGGAAACCUGUUGAGUGUUUGGUGAAUCGAGUAAUUUCCUCGUGGCUUUACUCUGCGCUGAGAUCUUUUGAAGCGACUCAAGAUCGACAUAAAUUUCGUCAUUAUGGCCUCUCCUCCAGUCUUGGUUAAUAAUGAUCUGUCGUGGAUUUAUGCUGACUUCAGCGUAAACCUCCUUACGCAAGCAAGAAUAAAGUUCUCACAAAUAAAGCUCUUUCUUGCUUCAUUUUCACCGCUUUCGCAGCUUUUAAUCUGACCAAAGCAUUGCAACAUUCCCAGGCCUUAAAAUCACGAGGCAAAUAAAAGUCAUCCAGAAACACUUUAUCUUUUUCUUUGUGCCGUUUAACACACUUUUUGUCAACUAUAAAUAUAAAACAGUAAAUGUCCUUUGGUCCUUGUAAAUCCCAUAGUGUGCCGUGCAUCCAGCAGCCACCUUUACCACCCGUUACCUAAAACAUCCAGUCCUGACCCACAUGCAACGAGCAAUCCUUUUACAGUAACAAGAAA